CCCUUAGUUAUCCUAGGCCGCACGCGUGUUACAAUGACUUUUUCAGCAAGUUCUCCUGGCCCGAGAGGGUGCGGGUAAUCUGAAAUCAAAGUCGUGUUAGGGAUAGAUCUUUGCAAUCAUAGAUCUUGAACGAGGAUUUUGUAGUAAGUGCGCGUCAUCACCGCGUACUGACUGCGUCCCUGCUGUUUGUACACACCGCCCGUCGCUUCUACCGAUUGAAUGUUCCGGUGAGUAAUUUGGACCCGGGGGGGCUUGCUCCUCUGGGGAAGUUUCGCAAACCUAUGCAUUUAGAGGAAGAAGAAGUCGUAACA
rnacentral:rRNA from 1 species